UGGCAUCAAUAACUCUCUUUCACAGCCUGCACAUUUACUGUAUUUUUCAUCGUACGGAGAUCGUUAUAUUUUCAUUAAUUUCUCGUUUCAUCGUCCACCGAGCAGAGGCGCAACCAGCACAUUUGUUUAAUUGGGGAUGCUGUUCCGUAUUCAUAUUUUCACAAAAGCAAAAAUUCAGUUGUCGUACCUCAUAUCUACAUCUAUAUAGAAAUUAAAAUUGUUU